rnacentral:rRNA from 1 species
UGAGGAAUAUUGGUCAAUGGGCGCGAGCCUGAACCAGCCAAGUAGCGUGCAGGAAGACGGCCCUAUGGGUUGUAAACUGCUUUUAUGCGGGGAUAAAGGAGUCCACGUGUGGAUUUUUGCAGGUACCGCAUGAAUAAGGACCGGCUAAUUCCGUGCCAGCAGCCGCGGUAAUACGGAAGGUCCGGGCGUUAUCCGGAUUUAUUGUGUUUAAAGGGAGCGUAGGCCGCGUUUUAAGCGUUUUGUGAAAUGUAGACGCCCAACGUCUGCAUCGCAGCGCGAACUGGGACGCUUGAGUACGCGCAACGAUGGCGGAGUUCGUCGUGUUGCGGUGAAAUGCUUAGAUAUGACGAGGAACUCCAAUUGCGAAGGCAGCUGACGGGAGCGGCACUGACGCUUAAGCUCGAAGGUGCGGGUAUCAAACAGG